AGGGAAGGAAGGCGGCCGAGGGGCCCGGCGCGGGGCUGCCGCGCGCGCCGAGGCCGCGGUAACAAAGUUUGGAAACCGCGAGAAAACUUUUCCAAGAGGAAACGCGGCGGCGGCGCUGGGCCUAUAGUUUCUCCUCCCCAGCCCAGGCGGCCCCCCGACUUCCCGAGCGCUGGGAAGCGCCGGCCGUGCCCGCCCGGGCCCCAUACUCGGGCCCUGCGGGGGAAGGGACCGCCGGCCCGACGCGGGUCCCACGCCCGCCCGGGGCCCAAUUCCCGGCGACGUCGCCAAAGAAACCGCGCCCCGCCCGCUCGCCCGCCCGCGGCUCGCGGGGCCCAGCUUGGGACGGCCCGGCCCAAGGACCCUCUCGGCCUGGCCCGAGAGACCGCGCCCGCGAGGAGGGAGUGGCAGAGCCAUUGAAAACACACCACUCUAUUCAGAACCCCUCCAGAAACACUGAGUACGCGUGGAUACAAAGGAGAAAACCGAAGACACCUGGGCCUACUUGAGAGCGGAGGGUGGGAGGAGCGUGAGGAUCGAAAAACUACCUAUGGCUUACUACGCUUAUUACCUGGGUGACAAAAUAAUCUUUACACCAAACCCCCAUGACAUACAAUUAAUUUAUCCAUGCACAUGUACCCUCUGAACCAAAAAUAAAAGUUGGAAAGUAAAGGAAAAAAAAAAUCACCCUCCAGUGCUUCCCAUCUCACUCUGAAUAAAAUUUAUUUGAUCUCACCC